rnacentral:rRNA from 1 species
GGUUAAUAUUCCUGUACUUGGUGUUACUGCGAAGGGGGGACGGAGAAGGCUAUGUUAGCCGGGCGACGGUUGUCCCGGUUUAAGCAUGUAGGCUGGUUAUCCAGGCAAAUCCGGAUAACCAAGGCUGAGGUGUGAUGACGAGGCACUACGGUGCUGAAGUAACAAAUGCCCUGCUUCCAGGAAAAGCCUCUAAGCAUCAGGUAACAUCAAAUCGUACCCCAAACCGACACAGGUGGU